CAUCUAUAUAAAUACCUCAUUAUACCUGUUUCAAAAGAACUCGAAUUAUACAUAUAACAGCUCACUUCAGGCUUUAAAGGUUAAGCAAUGAAGGUGUUCAUGCUUCUUUCGUUAGUUAUUUUUAUGAUCACCUCAGCGAUGGCAAUACGAGAUCUCUCCAAAGAAGCAAAAAUAGAAGGCGCACUAGUUGUUGUUCAUGAAGUAACCACCGAUGCCGUCGAGGAACUGCAAAACCUGAAAAGUGCACAAAACCAAGGAAUUAAAAUUGUGAGAAAGGAUGCGAACAUCGAAGGAACGCCAUGUGCGACGUGCUCGCCAACCACCAUACCGAUAAGGAAGUUCUGCGAUGCGAAAGGGUCUGAAUGGUGCUCGCCCCCUCCGAUGUCUUAGAGGGGUCAUUUGCGCGCAAUACAUAUACUAAAAAAGAAAAAACUAUAAGGUAUAGCCUUACAUAGAGCCGAUGUUACCACCCUCCAUAUAUGUUGCUUUAAGAUUCGAGUUAAUAGACUAAUAAAGGAUGGUGGCCUUUGUCUCAUCAUAGCGUGAUAUCCUAUAAGAGUCUUAUCCCUAAAUAAUGGCCACUUUCAUGUAGGUAAACCCUAAUGAUAUGUAGCAAUAAAUAAGAUGGCUUAUAUUUCUAUAUGUAAAAACUCUCUACAUGUGGACUGUAUAGGACCUUAAAUAUACAAAAUUAUUAUGAACUUGCUAGGAA